rnacentral:rRNA from 1 species
UACAGGGGGGGCAAGCGUUGUUCGGAAUUACUGGGCGUAAAGCGUGCGCAGGCGGUUAUGUAAGACAGGUGUGAAAUCCCCGGGCUUAACCUGGGAACUGCAUUUGUGACUGCAUAGCUAGAGUACGGUAGAGGGGGAUGGAAUUCCGCGUGUAGCAGUGAAAUGCGUAGAUAUGCGGAGGAACACCGAUGGCGAAGGCAAUCCCCUGGACCUGUACUGACGCUCAUGCACGAAAGCGUGGGGAGCAAACAGG